rnacentral:rRNA from 1 species
CCUACGGGGCGCAGCAGUGGGGAAUAUUGGGCAAUGGGCGCAAGCCUGACCCAGCAACGCCGCGUGAAGGAAGAAGGCUUUCGGGUUGUAAACUUCUUUUCUCAGGGACGAAGCAAGUGACGGUACCUGAGGAAUAAGCCACGUCUAACUACGUGUCAGCAGCCGCGGUAAUACGUAGGUGGCAAGCGUUAUCCGGAUUUACUGGGUGUAAAGGGCGUGUAGGCGGGAAAGCAAGUCAGAUGGGAAAACCAUGGGCUCAACCUGUGGCCUGCAUUUGAAACUGUUUUUCUUGAGUGCUGGAGAGGCAGGCGGAAUUGCUAGUGUAGCGGUGAAAUGCGUAGAUAUUAGGAGGAACACCAGUGGCGAAGGCGGUCUGCUGGACAGCAACUGACGCUGAGGCGCGAAAGCGUGGGGAGCAAACAGGAUUAGAUACCCCAGUAGUC